rnacentral:tRNA from 1 species
CGUGUGAUAGCUCAGUUGCCAGAGCGAUGGACUGCAGUUUUCUAAACAUAGGUAUGCAUAGGUCGCUGGUUCAAAUCCGGCUCAGAGGA